rnacentral:tRNA from 1 species
GGGAAGGUAGCUCAGUAGUAGAGCGCUUGCCUUGCAUGCAUGAGGCCUGGGUUCAAUUCCUCAGCACCA